GACGAACGCUGGCGGCGUGCUUAACACAUGCAAGUCGAACGGAAAGGCCCUGCUUUUGUGGGGUGCCCGAGUGGCGAACGGGUGAGUAACACGUGAGUAACCUGCCCUUGACUUUGGGAUAACUUCAGGAAACUGGGGCUAAUACCGGAUAGGAGCUCCUGCUGCAUGGUGGGGGUUGGAAAGUUUCGGCGGUUGGGGAUGGACUCGCGGCUUAUCAGCUUGUUGGUGGGGUAGUGGCUUACCAAGGCUUUGACGGGUAGCCGGCCUGAGAGGGUGACCGGCCACAUUGGGACUGAGAUACGGCACAGACUCCUACGGGAGGCAGCAGUGGGGAAUAUUGCACAAUGGGCGGAAGCCUGAUGCAGCAACGCCGCGUGCGGGAUGACGGCCUUCGGGUUGUAAACCGAUUUCGCCUGUGACGAGGCGUGAGUGACGGUAAUGGGUAAAGAAGCACCGGCUAACUACGUG
rnacentral:rRNA from 1 species